rnacentral:lncRNA from 1 species
AUUGGAUAAGAAAAUCGAUGUCCACGAUGGUGUCACGGCAUGCAAGAGGCGUCCACAUUCCUGUUUGUGCAUUCUUGAUUAUUAAUUUUAUUUUUCAUUUCUAGAAAAGCCAAAGAACCUCACUUGUAUUCAUUCUGUGAUCGAUGUUGUUUAUUUUGGCAGGCGUCAAUAAUCCGAACAAUGAGUCAGAUACAAAAGGCUCGCAAGACCUUGAAAACGAGCCAGGGGAUAAAGUAUCCAGCUGAUGAGGAGAUUUCGAAACUAACAGGGUACUCGUUAAAGAAGAUUAGAGCAGCUAACCAAUGCCUGAAAGUGGUUGGUUCAAUCGACAAGAAAGUUGGGGAUUGCUUUACCACAAAGUUCCUGGUAUGUCCUUUUGAACCAACAUCCUCUCUCAUAAACUGUUAUAAAAAAUAUUUGGUUUUGUGUAGAUUUAAGCUAUUUUUGCAUGGUUUUGGUUUUGUGAGUCAAUGUUUGUUUGCUGUGUGUGUGUAUGCAGGAGUUUACACCAGACACGACGAUGGAGAGUCCAGAGGAGGCUGUGAUGAGGCAGAGCGCAAGGAGAGAGGUACAUAAUCUAAUAGAAGGGCUAGAGGCUAGAGAGAAGCAAGUGAUGGUUCUACGUUAUGGUCUUGAAGACUAUAGGCCCAAGUCCUUGGAAGAGAUUGGGAAGCUGCUUAGGGUUAGCAAAGAAGGGAUCCGGAAGAUAGAACGGAGAGCGAUGGCUAAAAUCAGAGACCAACCCAAAGCUGAUAACCUCAGAUAUUAUUUGAACCAGUGAGAAGGAUUAGAUUUUUGGAACCAAUGGCUUUGUGAUUUGUAAUAACAUUCUCAUCGAGUGUAAAGCUGUGUAUAUUUUAUAAUCAUAAAAGGUAGAGAUUUUACCCAAAGUGAAAAUAUAUCAAACAUUUACAAAUCUUGGAUUUUAUCCUGUAAAAGACAUUGAUUCCAAACUGAAUGUUACAUCUGAAUUGAAGGCAUAAAGCACUUGCACAAGCUUCAUGUCCUCCUCAUGGUCUAGAAAUGUGUAAAUGUGUAUAUCAGAAUACUAGUGAAACUAGGUUAAGAUCCGCGCCUUGCGCGGGAUAAACAUUAUAUAUAUAAAUUAUUUUAUAUAUUAUAUGUUUCUAACCUAUUAUGAAACAAUAAAUAUAUAUUGAAUAAUUAAAAAGUCAGUAACUAUUACCUAUAUAAUUAAGUUGGUGCGAACAUAUAAAUAAAUUUUAUUAAUCCCGUCUAUGUAGAGCUCAAAGAUCCAAAGGUCUGUUGUACUUCCCUGCAAAAACAUUUUUUUUUCCUUUCUUGUGAUUCUCAGUACUCGUUGCCAUGUCUUCAGGAAAAUAUUGGCGUGGGUUUAGUUGGAGAACGAAUGUCUUCUUCUUCUUCAGAGAAAGCCAAUUUAUCUCGUAGCAUGUUGCAGUACAAUCUACUAGGGAAGAACCUUUUAGCACUAGAGCAAACUUUUGUCGCCUUGGAGUCUUUAAGAAUGGAAAGAGAUAUUAUGCUGCAAAUGAGGAAGUUGGGGGCUGCUGAGUUAUUCAACACCUGUCUAUCUAGGUCCCGAGCUUCGUCAACCGCUUCUUGCUUACCUGACACAGGAACACCUGAGUUGGUGGAUACUACAGAAGAACAGAAAACCUUUGUGCAUUCAACAAGGAAACUGAGAAAGAAAGCAAGACGGUCGAGUUUGAUGACUGGGAGUGAUGAUCUGGGUUCAAGAACCAUAUGGGAGGGUGUUGAUGUCCCUAGAGUGAGAAAACCAUCAAAAUAUAGAAAGAAAAGAGAGAGGAUAUCUAGAAACGAGGCUGAGAUGCCACAAGGAGUCAAGGUUCAGUGUGAAAUAUUCCUCUUAACUGUUUUUUUUUAUAAUCCUUUGUAGUUUAACAAGAAGUUCUUAUGACACUCUCAUGUGGCUAUUGAAGUUAGUGGCGGACAUGGAGAGGAUUAGAACGAAACUGGAAGAGGAAAGUGGUAAGGUAGCGAGUAUGAUUUGUUGGGCUGAAGCAGCAGGGAUGAACGAGAAACUUCUCAUGCGCAAUCUACAUUUCGGUUGGUACUGUCGAGAUGAACUGGUGAAAAGCACCCGGUCUUUGGUUCUUUUCCUCGCAAGAAACUAUCGUGGUCUCGGGAUCGCCCACGAAGAUUUGAUUCAGGUUCAUCUUCUCUCCUUUAGAACUGUAUGAGAGUCAAACCUUUGCACAUGAAACUUUGUGUUUACAGUUCCUUUGUUUCUAAUGUUCUUGAAUGUGGGUUUCAGGCAGGGUAUGUGGGAGUGUUGCAAGGAGCAGAGAGGUUUGAUCACACAAGGGGUUACAAGUUUUCGACGUAUGUGCAGUAUUGGAUAAGAAAAUCGAUGUCCACGAUGGUGUCACGGCAUGCAAGAGGCGUCCACAUUCCUGUUUGUGCAUUCUUGAUUAUUAAUUUUAUUUUUCAUUUCUAGAAAAGCCAAAGAACCUCACUUGUAUUCAUUCUGUGAUCGAUGUUGUUUAUUUUGGCAGGCGUCAAUAAUCCGAACAAUGAGUCAGAUACAAAAGGCUCGCAAGACCUUGAAAACGAGCCAGGGGAUAAAGUAUCCAGCUGAUGAGGAGAUUUCGAAACUAACAGGGUACUCGUUAAAGAAGAUUAGAGCAGCUAACCAAUGCCUGAAAGUGGUUGGUUCAAUCGACA